AUUAUGGUGUCCAGGAAUUUAUGGAGCUCUGAAUAUCUCGGUUACAAUUGGCUUUUAAUUAUUUACUUGGAAUGGCUGGGGGACACCAUAACAUGGACAAUACACAAGCUUUAAAUUAACCCUGACCUGCAAUUUCAAACUUUUACGACAGGCCUUUAAGCGGAGUCUUACCAAAGCAGGAGAGGGGCUGGCCAGGCUCAACUCUUCUCUCCCACCCAACUGCUGGGGCAGUGAUGACAGCUGGUGCCACAACCAAGGCCACAGACACAGAAGAGGGAAAAAUCUGGUUAACCCACCCCCAGACAAAGGUUCAACAAACAGCUUCACCUGUGUUGAACGUUUGCAUUGUACAGCAGCUCAAUGCAGC
rnacentral:lncRNA from 1 species